rnacentral:rRNA from 1 species
GAUGAACGCUGGCGGCGUGCCUAAUACAUGCAAGUCGAGCGAACAGACGAGGAGCUUGCUCCUCUCACGUUAGCGGCGGACGGGUGAGUAACACGUGUAUAACCUACCUAUCAGACUGGGAUAACUUCGGGAAACCGGAGCUAAUACCGGAUAAUAUAUUGAACCGCAUGGUUCAAUAGUGAAAGACGGCUUUGCUGUCUCUUCUAGCUGGAUCCGCGCCGCAUGAGCUAGUUGGUAAGGUAACGGCUUACCAAGGCAGCGAUGCGUAGCCGACCUGUGAGGGUGGUCGGCGACACUGGAACGGAGACACGGUCCAGACUCCUACGGGAGGCAGCAGUAGGGAAUCUGCCGCAGUAGGCGAAAGCCUGACGGAGCAACGCCGAGUGAGUGAUGGAGGUCCUCGGAUCGUAAAGCUCUGUUAUUAGGGAAGAACAGAUGUGUAAGUAACUGUGCACGUCGUGACGGUACCUGGUCAGAAAGCCACGGCUAACUACGUG